CUCUAUGUUUCUUCCUUAGUUCCCUCCUCACUCGGGAGUUUUUCCUUAGCUAAAAUGUACAGCAUGGUCGAGGCAUUCGUUGGAACUUGGAAGUUUUUGUGCUUCUACAUCUGCAUUGCUUGCUCUUUGGGGUUUAAGGAUGGGUGUCUGUAUAACAGUUUGUGACACUUACUGGUGUAAACUGGGCUUUAUAAAAUACAUUUGAUUGAUUGCAACGCCAGGAUAGUGGGUUGAUUCCAGGGACCACCCGAAGUUGACAAAAUUCUUCUGCACCAUGGAGUCCAUGAUUUUGCUCAUGUCACUGGCGAUGGUUGACUCUGCGUAUCUUCUCCCCAAACCCUGUCCAUUUUCCGUGAGACUAACAAGCAGACAUGAACACAAACAUGCGAGAGGAAUGGACAUAUUUGAUAAUGCAGGGGACUCAACAUCAAAAUGAAAUAUGAUCAGACAUCUCAAACGCAGGAUGGGAAUCUUACCUGUUCUCGCCAGACUGGGACAGGACUUCAGCACGCAGCAUCCCAGCCACGCAGAGAACCACCAGUGAAAACAAAGCUACCUUCAUGGUGACAAAACUAAACGAGGAGAGAAGCGAGAGGCAGAGAAAGUCAGGAAGAGAAAAAAACCUGCAAUUCUGGAGAAUGUCUUACACUUAACAAUACAGGGGUUCCUUUAUAUUUCUAAAUAACUGUUAUAUUUCUGUAAAUGUAUUACACAUACAGUAAGCUAGACACAAGAAUGCAUGUAUUAAGCAGAAAUGUAUAAUUGGAACAACAGAAUACUGGAAGGGUAUAUUUUGAAAACUAUCUUACCUUGUGAAUGGAUAUUCUUCAGUGAGAGAUGCAGGCUUUUUGUGAAUUGCUACAAGACAUUGGUCCUUUUAUACAGUUUCUCAGAGGUGAUUUGUGGCAACACUGGCAUAUCAACAGGAAUAACACCUUAGUUCCACUACAUUAGGGCAAUAAUAUACACAUACUUCCGAUAAGCAAGCUUUCUAAUAAAUUCAAAACUGAGUAAAAUAAUAGGAUGUUUAAAAUUGUUCCCUAGAUUGGAGGUAACUACCCUUAAUAUGAUCAGUGGAAACCUUUCUGGGCUAUUAGGCUAAUCUGAAUGGUGCUAGAUGGGAAACAAUUGAGACGUGAACAGCUUAAUGGUCACACUAGAAGAUAAGGGAAUGAAGUAAAAGGUGAAUGUUUUCAAUGCUGUAACCUGUUUUGGGUUACGUGUAGCUAAAUUUAAAUCUAAAAUGGUCCUUGAGAUCGGAAAAUAUGAUUUGUCUUACAUAUGAACGAUGGUGUAAUGGUAAAUAUGCUAAUGCUGU